GGAAGCGUGGGGGAGUGGUUUAACCCAGCGGCCUUGAAAUCCGCCGGCGGCGCACACCGCCCGUGAGUUCGAAUCUCACCGCUUCCGCCA
rnacentral:tRNA from 1 species